GUCUCUGUAGUAUAGCUAUUACUUUGGUCUUGUAAACCAAAAACGGGAAACAAUUCCCCAAAGACA
rnacentral:tRNA from 1 species